rnacentral:rRNA from 1 species
GAUGAACGCUGGCGGCGUGCCUAAUACAUGCCAGUCGAGCGAACGGACGAGAAGCUUGCUUCUCUGAUGUUAGCGGCGGACGGGUGAGUAACACGUGGAUAACCUACCUAUAAGACUGGGAUAACUUCGGGAAACCGGAGCUAAUACCGGAUAAUAUUUUGAACCGCAUGGUUCAAAAGUGAAAGACGGUCUUGCUGUCACUUAUAGAUGGAUCCGCGCUGCAUUAGCUAGUUGGUAAGGUAACGGCUUACCAAGGCAACGAUGCAUAGCCGACCUGAGAGGGUGAUCGGCCACACUGGAAUUGAGACACGGUCCAGACUCCUACGGGAGGCAGCAGUAGGGAAUCUUCCGCAAUGGGCGAAAGCCUGACGGAGCAACGCCGCGUGAGUGGUGAAGGUCUUCGGAUCGUAAAACUCUGUUAUUAGGGAAGAACAUAUGUGUAAGUAACUGUGCACAUCUUGACGGUACCUAAUCAGAAAGCCACGGCUAACUACGUG